UGAGUCCACCUUCAGUGCUGCUGCCAUCACCCUGGAGACAGUGGAGUGACACAAGGAGGGACGAGCGGCCAGUGUAUUUCUUCUGGAAUUGAGCUUGCAGGUGUGUGUGUGAGAUCCCCACAGAGCAACUGGAUGGCUGUAACCAUUCGAGCAACUCGUCUUUAAGCUAAUAAUUGAAGGAGCUGUGAAUCUAGCCUGCUGGUCUUUCAAGUGAUGCAUAGCACAGAGUCUGAGGGACUAGAGAAACUGGAGCAGCAUUAGAGCCCAGGAGAAAUUGCUGUCUAAGUGAUCCUUUGUGGACUUCCGACCAAAACCAUCAAGUGCAGCAUAUGUCUUUUUUCAAUCAACUUUGAAUGAUGGCAGCUGAGAAACACCCACCAGAGAGGGACCAAGACAGUCAUAGACAGGAUAGGAGACAUGCCAGGGCUGAACUCCACCCAAGUGCCUACAUCCCAAGGAGUUGAUGUUGCAUAAACAGGACAGGCCACCAACUCCCACAGGACCAAGGACCACAGAGGAGCGCUUUGAGGUUUUAUCAUCCUUUUAGGCUUCUACAUACCCAUGAGCACACAGGGUCAAAUCCAACUCCUGCGACCUGCAGUAACUCUAAACUUUUCAAGGCUCAGAGCUUUCCUUAUAGCACAGUCUGUGGUUUCACUGUGGAGAAGCAAACCUGAAAAAAAAACUUGUUGGACUGGAUCAGAAGCAUUUUGGUGAGUGCAGCAGAAGCUGCCAGUGGUGAAAAUAGCACUCCUGGAGCAUGAAUGAACAGAGUGGGGUUUCAUUCUGUGCACGUUAGACAAUUUAAUCCUCACUGGGCAUUAUGGUUGUGCUGGGCAGUUUGCUCUGGAGAUCUGUUUCCAUUGCCACAUAAUAAAUAAAACGCUCUUUAGGAGAUACUCAUGGAUGGAA